GUGAAUCAUCGAAUUUUUGAACGCAAAUUGCACUCCCUGGUAUUCCGGGGAGCAUGCCUGUUUGAGGGUCGUUAGAAUCAUAAAUCGAGGCGUCGCUCUUUUUUUUAAGGGUGCUCGCGUCGGAAUUGAGCCGUCUUUCAAAUGUUAAUUCAUCUUAAUGUUGCCUAAAAUCAAUCCAUCCGGUGCGAUUAAAGCGUAUUUAAGAUCAAUCUUGAUUAAGAACGCGCGAUGACGUACCAUCUCAUGG
rnacentral:misc_RNA from 1 species